rnacentral:rRNA from 1 species
GCUGAACUUAAGCAUCUCAAUAAGCGGAGGAAAAGAAACUAACAAGGAUUCCCCUAGUAACUGCGAGCGAAGCGGGAAAAGCUCAAAUUUAAAAUCUGAUGGUCUCUAUGGCCUCCCGAGUAUGUUAAUCUAGAGAACUUGCUAUCCGCGCUGCACCGCGUAAACGCCUCCAUAA